UGUUUCAAGUUGGCUUAUGUGGUACUAACUACUAAUCCGUCAUCUCAAAGUUUAUAUCGACUUCUAUGUGUGAUUUCUUGCUCAUUGAUUGACUUUUCAAACGUUGAGCUGUGUUUCUUUGAUCUCCGUUAACCGUCCAACACAUUUAUGUUUCAUUGUUCAUGUUUUGCCCUAAGUCACAAACUAUGUCGUCUGUGAAUUGUGAUUUGUACCUGGUAGCUGAAUAACCAGGAAUUUGUUCUAUGAAUCAACGUGUUUGUGAACAUUGUGAAGGUAGUUUCUACACUUAAACGUGUAUAUCUUGGUGCCAUUAUUGAUUUUGUUUAUUUUGGCUGUUGAUGUCAGUGGCUGUAGCUGAGUGGUUGCUUGCAGUCGAUGUAUUGUUGUUAUUUUCAUUAUAUUAUAAGCGUGAUAAUAAUGUUAGGAGCGAGAUGAAAUCUUUUACCCAUCACAUGCUGAACAAGCAGUACCAAGUAUAUUGUUAUUUUCCUGCCCAUUUGAAGAAAAUUACAGAACUUGAAGAGUCCUAGUCAAAACAUUUAUGGAUAUGUUUUCAAUAAUGAACUAAAA